UUUUCAGGGUGCAGUUAAAAGCUCUGCUAGUGCCCCACGAAUUUCCAUCUGAUCACAGCACACAAGUUUUGUAAGUAAAGGAUAGAAAUCUCUUAAAUGUCUUCUGAAAAUCUUGUUGUUCAUAANNNNNNNNNNCCUUGACAAUGAUCGGUGACCGUAACUCAAGAACUCGAUGAACAUCCAUGUUAGCAGUCUCCCCCAUUGAGGACUGGAGAUCAGAUGCUUCCUUGAGUACCUG
rnacentral:misc_RNA from 1 species